GGCAGUGUGGCCUAAUGGAUGGAACACUAGACUGGCAUUCAGGACACCUGGGUUCUAUGCCCAGCUCUGCCA
rnacentral:tRNA from 1 species